GCCGGGGUGGCUCAGUGGUAGAGCAGCUCACUCGUAAUGAGCAGGUCGGCCGUUCGAAUCGGCUCCCCGGCU
rnacentral:tRNA from 1 species